rnacentral:rRNA from 1 species
UACGAAGGGGGCUAGCGUUGCUCGGAAUUACUGGGCGUAAAGGGCGCGUAGGCGGCUUUGUAAGUCGGGGGUGAAAGCCUGUGGCUCAACCACAGAAUUGCCUUCGAUACUGCAUGGCUUGAGACCGGAAGAGGUAAGUGGAACUGCGAGUGUAGAGGUGAAAUUCGUAGAUAUUCGCAAGAACACCAGUGGCGAAGGCGGCUUACUGGUCCGGUUCUGACGCUGAGGCGCGAAAGCGUGGGGAGCAAACAGG